rnacentral:rRNA from 1 species
GCAAGUCGAGCGGAUGAAGAGAGCUUGCUCUCUGAUUCAGCGGCGGACGGGUGAGUAAUGCCUAGGAAUCUGCCUGGUAGUGGGGGACAACGUUUCGAAAGGAACGCUAAUACCGCAUACGUCCUACGGGAGAAAGCAGGGGACCUUCGGGCCUUGCGCUAUCAGAUGAGCCUAGGUCGGAUUAGCUAGUUGGUGAGGUAAUGGCUCACCAAGGCGACGAUCCGUAACUGGUCUGAGAGGAUGAUCAGUCACACUGGAACUGAGACACGGUCCAGACUCCUACGGGAGGCAGCAGUGGGGAAUAUUGGACAAUGGGCGAAAGCCUGAUCCAGCCAUGCCGCGUGUGUGAAGAAGGUCUUCGGAUUGUAAAGCACUUUAAGUUGGGAGGAAGGGUUGUAGAUUAAUACUCUGCAAUUUUGACGUUACCGACAGAAUAAGCACCGGCUAACUCUGUGCCAGCAGCCGCGGUAAUACAGAGGGUGCAAGCGUUAAUCGGAAUUACUGGGCGUAAAGCGCGCGUAGGUGGUUUGUUAAGUUGGAUGUGAAAGCCCCGGGCUCAACCUGGGAACUGCAUUCAAAACUGACAAGCUAGAGUAUGGUAGAGGGUGGUGGAAUUUCCUGUGUAGCGGUGAAAUGCGUAGAUAUAGGAAGGAACACCAGUGGCGAAGGCGACCACCUGGACUGAUACUGACACUGAGGUGCGAAAGCGUGGGGAGCAAACAGGAUUAGAUACCCUGGUAGUCCACGCCGUAAACGAUGUCAACUAGCCGUUGGGAGCCUUGAGCUCUUAGUGGCGCAGCUAACGCAUUAAGUUGACCGCCUGGGGAGUACGGCCGC